rnacentral:rRNA from 1 species
AUUGAACGCUGGCGGCAGGCCUAACACAUGCAAGUCGAACGGUAACAGGAAACAGCUUGCUGUUUCGCUGACGAGUGGCGGACGGGUGAGUAAUGUCUGGGAAACUGCCUGAUGGAGGGGGAUAACUACUGGAAACGGUAGCUAAUACCGCAUAACGUCGCAAGACCAAAGAGGGGGACCUUCGGGCCUCUCGCCAUCGGAUGUGCCCAGUUGGGAUUAGCUAGUAGGUGGGGUAACGGCUCACCUAGGCGACGAUCCCUAGCUGGUCUGAGAGGAUGACCAGCCACACUGGAACUGAGACACGGUCCAGACUCCUACGGGAGGCAGCAGUGGGGAAUAUUGCACAAUGGGCGCAAGCCUGAUGCAGCCAUGCCGCGUGUAUGAAGAAGGCCUUCGGAUUGUAAAGUACUUUCAGCGGGGAGGAAGGGAGUAAAGUUAAUACCUUUACUCAUUGACGUUACCCGCAGAAGAAGCACCGGCUAACUCCGUG